UUUUUAGAUUGAAAAAAAAAAAGCCUUAAAACUAUAAAACCUGACUCAAUAUCGUUCCCAUUAUUAUAAUCAUGAUACAACAAAUGCAACAUAUGAAUAUAACUUUUCUGAUUUAUCACCUGAAUCACCUCAACCACUAGCUAGCCUUUGAUGAUCAUGCUGUUGCCUCCCUAAUUUAUCCUCUCAAGGUCGUUCAUAGGGCAUCCAUGCAUAGACAAGAGCCAGCUCUGCGAAGUUGGUUCCAUAUUCUGCACUAUAUGGAAAAAAAAAAACAAAAAAAAAAAAGGGCAAACACACUGAAUGGAAGCAUUGACCUGCUAAAGCAGAAUCUCUUAUGAAAUUUACAAGGUGAAAAUAGAGAACCCAUGAGCUCAUUAAGCUAUGACACGCCUUAAAUAACUUUCUCCCAUGCACUCUACAGAACAACCCUCCCAAAAUUCUCUUGAUCAAGUUGAUAUCUUAACUCCCCAAGUU
rnacentral:misc_RNA from 1 species